rnacentral:lncRNA from 1 species
UAUAGAAUGGGGACUAGGGUGGGAGUGGGGUGGAGAUUACAAAACCAAACCUCAUCCUAUUAAGAAUUUAAAGAUUAUUUUUCUCUCAUUCCCCAUCACAUUCUUAAAAAAUCAUUCAAAAUUCACCCCAGUUAAGAUGGGGCACCAUAGGACUCCAAACCGGUGGAGAAUUUUGUCAUCCCUAAUAUUGAGGUAAUUGAUCUUAUUCAAAAAAAACACAAAACUUAACUAGCUGUUAACUUAUAUUCUCUUUUUAAUUUCUUUUUUCUUUUUUUAUCAAGUGAACAAUAAAAGGAAUAACAAAAGAUUCUUUAUUGCAAGAGUACUCAUUUUUCUAUGCUUAACGGCAAAUUGUUACAAAAGUAGUUAUACGGCAUAAUGGAAACAACAAAUUAACAAGCAUAAUCAGAGCAUCCGUAGCCGGGACAAAGGCAAGGGAAUGAGACUCUGUGAUGGGCCUCCUCAUCCUCGCCCUUCUUAAUUAAACACUCUUCGGGUGUAAGCCCUGAGCAAUCAUCAUUGUCGGCAGGUGAUGGUGCAGGAAUGGCAGAAUUAAAAAGCUUAGAUUCUUGGCCAAUUCUUGUGCUUGAAAUCAGCACACUUUCAAUGCUUGCUACCACAAAUAAAGUUAGGAUGAAGAAACCAAAGCUCUUCCACAUUUCUUUCAUUUUUAAACUUGUAAUAAAGAACUUUGAAUAAAAAGAUAGAUGCAAGAAUCAUAAAAAGAAAAAGAAAAAGAAAAAAAGUAAAGCUAUAUAUAUUCUCGGAUUGUGUUCUGAGCGUUGAGCAAUUAAAGAUUUCAUGAAUGAGCAUUGAAUAAAUCAUGCAAUUAAAACUCAAAGCGUUGCAACUAGUCACUCUCUUCGGUUAAGUGGAAUUUGACCAAUUAGAUAACUAAAUUGUUGAAUUUGAAAUACAUCAAUAAAAUCAUGUAAUUUUGGGAGUCUAGUUAUCAAUUAAAAGAAUAAAGAGUAUCUCCAAAAGGCUUUUUAAAUUUUACUCUUCAAAUAUUAAUUUGCUUACUGAUGUGGCAAAUAAGUGGAUGGAAAAAUACAAUUCUCUCCAAAAGACUUAUCAAAUAAGAAUAAGUUAACAUUAUUUUAAACAAAUCUUUCCCACUAUCAAAUUGAAUUGUUGUUAUGUUUUUAAAAGAAAACAUAAAUAAUAAUUAUUGCAGUCUUAUCUUUUUAAUAAAUAAUAAUAAAAAAUUAAUAGAAGAGGGAGAAACUCACUUGGUAAUAUUGAAGAGUGAGAAACAAAUCUUAUUUAAAAAAUCUAAAUUAACGUGUCUUUUGAAGUGUUUAAUAUUGAUAUGGCUCUUCAAAUAAAAUUCUAUUUCUUAUUUAAUAAUGAACAUUCGAUUAUUCAAGUUUUCAUUGGAAUUUUACAAAUAUUUGUUAAAUCUAAAGUUACCAAGGGCCAAUUUGAUACUGUUAUAUCUUUUAAAAUAAUUAUUAUUAACUAUGUUGUAAAAAUAAUCAGUUGUGAAGAGAAUUAAUUAAACGUUUGGUAAACUUUUUUUUUAACAGUACUGUGAGUUUUAAAAGCGAUUAUAUGUAUUAUUAGUGAUAAUGUUGAAUAAAAUUUAUUUACACAUUUACAUACACACACAUAUAUACAUGUGUAGGUGUGUGUGUUUAAUUGUGUAUAUUUAGUAAUUGAUAACUAAAAAAU